GCGGAUGUGGCGGAAUCGGUAGACGCGCUAGUUUCAGGUACUAGUGGCAGCAAUGCUGUGGGAGUUCAAGUCUCCCCAUCCGCA
rnacentral:tRNA from 1 species